rnacentral:lncRNA from 1 species
UGGACAUCUCCGCAUAGACGAGUAAGUGUUUCGAAUACCUGGUAUUUCUUGACUUCGAUAGGCGGUUGUCCAGGGCCGAAGGACUUGGUGGCAACUGCACUUCCUUCUUCGACGAUGUAGAAGACAUCUCCGAGUUCUCCCUGUCGGACGAUGUACGCUCCAUCGGUGAACAUUUCCGUGCGCAGAGCGUCGGCGACUUUCCCGCGUUCGUACGCGUCCAUUCCGUCGAGGAUGUGGACGCUCUUCAGGAAAGAGUCGUACAUGGAUCGCCGCUUCGUCGCCGCGUCUUUGACGAUGGCGUUGAACGUGUCUCGACCAAGCUCCCACAAAUCGCAUGCACUCACGCUGGUCACUGUCGCAGCUCGAGGCGCGUUGUAGAGGAGCGCCAGUUCGCCGAACGCGUCUCCUGGUCCGACGACCUUCACCACUCUCUCUUCUCCGUCGAUCAGCUUCGAACAGUUCAACUCGCCGCUCUGGACGAUGUACAGACACUCGCCGUCGUCGCCUUCGCGAAUUAAGCACGUGCUCGCUUCGAUUUUCUUCUCCUGCAUUGCCAGAAUCACCGUGUUCAGAUCCUUCUCGUCCAGGCUGUUGAACAGGAACGACUGGCGCAGAAUGCGCUGCACAGCCGCAGGCACAUACCGGAGAAGUCCACUGAAAAAGUCUUUCGCGCAAAACACACCGCAGAGCACGUGAGCACGCAGGAAGAGAGCAAAGCGAGAGCGUUUUCCUUCAUGAGGCGCAGUGAUACACUCACGGAGGGGCUUAGAUGCAUACGGGGAAUUCCAAGUUGAAUGUACGCAUGCAAGGACUCGUGUGCUGUCGUACGGAGACAGCAUAGAGAAAGGACGCCCACAGAGAAACGACAGACAUAGCAGAAAAUCGCCGGAGAGAGAGAAACAGCUGAUGCAACAAGAGAGAGUGGGAACAAGAGUGUUUCCCAGUCCGUCGGACGCGGAAUCCCUGCCUCUGAUGCCUGUGUGUUUGUUGGACAGAUUUCUCGAUUAUCAGCGAAGGGAACACGCUAGUGAGGAAAGCGGCGUCAAACCGCUUCCUUCCGCGACUCCGAGUGUUUCUUUCGCUCUUCCCACCUCAAGUUGCUCCUUCUGGCCUUCAUCCUUCUCAUAGACGGGUGCAACAAAGUUUUUCUUCUUGUUCCACUCGCCAUACACCUCCGCGGAGACCGAGCACCGCAUUUUAUUCAGGUUCUUGAAUCUGGACAUCACCGCUUCGUCGUCGUCAAAGACGUCGUCGUCGUGCUCGUCGUCAGAGUCGUCCGACUCGUGCGUCUCUGCGGGGCUCCCGUCGACGCCGUUUUUCUGCAGAUUUUUCAGUUGCUCGCGCAACAGGCCGAUCUCGACUUUCAACUCCUCAGCUUCAUUCUUCCCGCCUGCCGCGCCUGAGACAGAAAUGAAGGAAAGAGAAGCGCAAAGUAUAUGCGCAGGACAGAAAGGAAGUCUAAGUAACGGUCAUGGAGGCGUCAAGUGGGAUUGACAGACGCAGGAGCUGAGUGGCUGACCGCGCCUGGAGUCCCUGGGAGAUGGAUGAGGGAAGGAGAUCACGUGGAUGUCGAAACGACAAGGAACAAGGAACCUCAACAGAGCGUUUCUGCAUAGAGAUCAUGCAUUUGUGUGUGUCAGAUGCAACACACAUCUACACAUUCUGCACAGAUGCUUCUUAGUGGGUGGGUCAUGGCGGGAUUCAAUGCAUUAUCCGUUCCAAGUGGACUGUCAAGUCCCGACAAAGGGCCAGGCUCGCUCCCAGUUGUUAUGGAUCUGUUCAGAGAUGUUUGUUUGUUUCAUCACACACGGGAUUCUCCUGGGUUGAGAGAUUUCUUGGAAGAGUUUGGUGCCUCCGUUGUCUUUGCCUUCUGCUUGUUUGGUGUAUCUUCGCGGAACCAUGCGGUCAUUUGAACAUUUCGUCAGCAAAAAUGCAGAAAACGUGAGUCGCUGCCAAAAUACGUGUCUGUGUAUGUGUGUGUGUGUGUGGGCGACACAAGAAGACUGUUCGUUGCAACACAUAUUGCGUGUUACCGCAUAGGGAGAGGUGGGACCUGAGAGAAAGAAUCUAUUGUAGGUGGUGGAAAACGAGUUCAUACUCUCGAACCAGCAAUGUUGCUUUGAGUCUUCGUACCUGCAACCGGAUCGGGGAUUCCAGCGCGCUGACAAAGCCGAGAAAUCAUGAAGGUGACUGGGUCAUCAGGGUGUUCGAGGAGAACCUCGACGACGAGCCCCUCAAGAACGGGGUUCAACUUGGUGUUGAUGUACUCUUGGUACACUGCGGUUGCACCGGCCAUUUUGGAGGUGGAGAAGGGAGCAGUUGCUUCCAGGGAAAGGGAUGAAAACGUCAAAUGAUGUCGCUACAGUGACUCACCAGCCCUGUCACUUCGCCGACUGGGUUGAACAGAUUCUAAAACAGAAUAACCUCCCGCUAGUCGACGCCGUACAGUCGCUUUGACGGCAGCUUCCCACACAUGCGCAUACACAUGUGGAUGAAAAAGUCGAAGGCCCCUGCUGGCAUCAACGUGUAUGGAUCCAAUAUGGAAAGAGGUAUGCGAGCAUCUGUGUAUCUUUUUUCUGCGGGUGAGGUCGUUGUCGACGAUGCGCCUGGUGCAGCCGUUUCCCGUGUUCGGUGUUUGCUUGGAACUAUGAAGCGGAAAAUGUUGCCUCACGACAGAGAGAGAGAUCUAGUUUCUCCAGAGGAGCUCUUUCUCCCGGCGUUUUGGUGUGACUGUCCCGGUCUUUCUUUUCCUUUCUCGAUUUCCGCCCUCUGUGUCAAUAUACGCAGCGCGUGUUCCCAAAAGAUUCAGAACCGGGAUGCGAGACGAUGAGAAUCGUCUUGUCGACCUAGCGUUCGUGAUUUUUCGCAUAAAAAAGAAAGCCCGUGCAUCUUGCGGUGGAGCGCCAUGGAAAAGGUUAGGCGUUUCCAGGUUUUUCUCUGAAUCGCCCGCCGACUCGAAACAAGCAACUCAGAUGCAAGUGUGGGCACGUGGGGCUAGC